UACGUAGGGUGCGAGCGUUAAUCGGAAUUACUGGGCGUAAAGUGUGCGCAGGCGGCCGAGCAAGUCGAGUGUGAAAGCCCCGGGCUUAACCUGGGAAUGGCAUUUGGGACUGCAAGGCUUGAGUGCGGCAGAGGAGACUGGAAUUCCUGGUGUAGCAGUGAAAUGCGUAGAUAUCAGGAGGAAUACCGAUGGCGAAGGCAGGUCUCUGGGCUGACACUGACGCUCAUGCACGAAAGCGUGGGGAGCAAACAGG
rnacentral:rRNA from 1 species